AAGAGCCGUACGAGGCAGCUCACGUACGGUUCGGGAGCCGAGCCCGGCACAGGGGCUUAGGUCAAC
rnacentral:sRNA from 1 species